CAUCAGCUUACUGAGAAGGAUGGGUUUGCUUUAUCACAUGGUUUGGAGGAAGAUUUUAAUGUGUUAAAGCUUCUGUACUGCAAAACUUGCCCUCCCAGACCUGAUGAAAGCUGUGAUUGCUCUGGAUUUCCACUAGAGACCUCUAUCCGAUCGCAGGAGGGCUGGGGAGCAGUUUGCAUCACUGGGCGUUUCUCUACAAGCAACAGAGAAGUUUGCCAAUUGCCCCUGGGAAGAGGUGGAGUUUACCAUCAGAGGAAAAUAAUUCUAAAGAGAAGAAUGGAAUCCUGUAAUACUAGUUUGCCAUACAAAAUGAGUAAAAGAGUGUUUCUUCAAGGAAAAUAUUUCAAAUGGC